AGUAACACUCUGGGAGGGCUCAAACCACAUAACCAAAUGUGCCAAGAUAAUCCUGAGCUCACUAUUGUCAGUCCUGAAGAUUUUCCUCAGAUAAUCUUUCAUCUCUUUGUUCCUGAGACUAUAUAUUAGAGGAUUACAGAGUGGUGUUAUCACAGAAAAGAACAAGUGGAUUUUUAUCUGAGAUCUACAACUUAUGAAGAAUACAAAUGAUGUAUAUUCUUUUCUACUCUUCAUGUAUGGACUAGAGGGGCUUGCACAGUAGUAAGAAAAAAAUGGCUGAGACCCACAGGAACAAAGAAACAGGACAGGAGUUAGAUGCAGAGAAGAGAUUUCAACAAAAGUUUGGAAAAGAUGCUAACGGUAGCAUAUGAGUCACAGACAGAACAUUGGCACCUUUGUUUAAGAAACUGAAUGUUAAUGUCACAUCUGCCUUUGGAGAUUACAAAUGAAAUGGCUACCUUUCUACUGGAACCCUGACCAGAAGUCUGCCAGUUAGUAAGCUGGCUUAAGAGAUCAAUCUAAAAUUUACAUAAGGCUUUUGAAAAAAAGAAAAAAACUCAAGAGAAUUGACAUCUGGUGUUAAAAAACAAAAAAUCAUACAAAUGACUGAUAUGUAUCAUUUUCCUUAUUAAAUAUGGAAGAAAGGGGAGGAGGAUGCAGAAAUGGUUGGCUAAAAGCUCCAGAGAA
rnacentral:lncRNA from 1 species